UGAAUAUAAUAAACCGUCUCUUAACUUUUAACUAAAAAAGCUAAGAACUGGUUGUUAAAUAUCUUAUUUAACAACCGGUUCUUAGUUUUUUUUUAGUUAAAAGUUAAGAGACGGUUUCUUAUAUUUC
rfam:Brassica oleracea var. oleracea cultivar TO1000 chromosome C7, whole genome shotgun sequence